rnacentral:rRNA from 1 species
UACGGGGGGAGCAAGCGUUGUUCGGAUUUACUGGGCGUAAAGGGCGCGUAGGCGGUCAGCACAAGUCAGUUGUGAAAUCUCCGAGCUUAACUCGGAAAGGUCAACUGAAACUGUGCGACUAGAGUGCGGAAGGGGCAACUGGAAUUCUUGGUGUAGCGGUGAAAUGCGUAGAUAUCAAGAGGAACACCUGCGGCGAAGGCGGGUUGCUGGGCCGACACUGACGCUGAGACGCGAAAGCGUGGGGAGCAAACAGG